UCAAUAAAUGGUAAAAGUUCGGAGGAAAAAAGGAGCCAGGAAUCGAGAGUACAUCAUGUGAAGAGCGACCCAACAGCGUUAAUAUUUGCUGAUGAAUUUAAACAGACAAUUGAGAAAUACUUAUUCGGGAUAUGUCCACAAACAUAUAAGAUGCCACUUGGCGGCAAGAAGAAUGAAACCACCUUCGCCUGCGACCUGGACACAGAUCACGAGGAACUCGCUGGAAGACUGGCAACACUCGCACUACGCGCGCAUUCAGCGUCUCGCUCCGAUUGCCUGCGACUGGGCACAGCAUUGUCC